rnacentral:rRNA from 1 species
AUAUACGACCGUACCGCAAACCGACACUGGUGCGCGAGAUGAGUAUUCUAAGGCGCUUGAGAGAACUCAGGAGAAGGAACUCGGCAAAUUGACACCGUAACUUCGGAAGAAGGUGUGCCCUAUUAGUGUGUAGUGAACAACGAAGCAUGAAUGGGUUGCAAAAAAUCGGUGGCUGCGACUGUUUAUUAAAAACACAGCACUCUGCAAACACGAAAGUGGACGUAUAGGGUGUGACGCCUGCCCGGUGCUGGAAGAUUAAAUGAUGGGGUGCAAGCUCUUGAUUGAAGUCCCAGUAAACGGCGGCCGUAACGAUAACGGUCCUAAGGUAGCGAAAUUCCUUGUCGGGUAAGUUCCGACCUGCACGAAUGGCGUAACGAUGGCCACACUGUCUCCUCCUGAGACUCAGCGAAGUUGAAAUGUUUGUGAUGAUGCAAUCUCCCCGCGGAAAGACGGAAAGACCCCAUGAACCUUUACUGUAGCUUUGUAUUGGACUUUGAACAGAUCUGUGUAGGAUAGGUGGGAGGCUUUGAAGCAGGGUCGCUAGAUCUUGUGGAGCCAACGUUGAAAUACCACCCUGGUGUGUUUGAGGUUCUAACCUAGGUCCAUUAUCUGGAUCGGGGACAGUGCAUGGUAGGCAGUUUGACUGGGGCGGUCUCCUCCCAAAGCGUAACGGAGGAGUUCGAAGGUACGCUAGUUACGGUCGGACAUCGUGACGAUAGUGCAAUGGCAUAAGCGUGCUUAACUGCGAGACUGACAAGUCGAGCAGAUGCGAAAGCAGGACAUAGUGAUCCGGUGGUUCUGUAUGGAAGGGCCAUCGCUCAACGGAUAAAAGGUACUCUGGGGAUAACAGGCUGAUACCGCCCAAGAGUUCAUAUCGACGGCGGUGUUUGGCACCUCGAUGUCGGCUCAUCUCAUCCUGGGGCUGUAGCCGGUCCCAAGGGUAUGGCUGUUCGCCAUUUAAAGAGGUACGUGAGCUGGGUUUAAAACGUCGUGAGACAGUUUGGUCCCUAUCUUCCGUGGGCGCUGCAGAUUUGAGGAAGCCUGCUCCUAGUACGAGAGGACCGGAGUGGACACACCUCUGGUGUAUCGGUUGUCACGCCAGUGGCAUUGCCGAGUAGCUAAGUGUGGAAGAGAUAACCGCUGAAAGCAUCUAAGCGGGAAACUCGUUUCAAGAUGAGAUCUGCCGGGGCCUUGAGCCCCCUAAAGAGUCGUUCAAGACCAGGACGUUGAUAGGUCAGGUGUGGAAGCAAAAAA